GGAAGCCUUAGGUAGCACCUUGCACCGGAGUUUUCUUCGUCUUUGUGUCUUCCUCUCAUCUUCCCCAUGUUUCAGGGUGAAAUAGCGGUUCUUCCCCACGCGGUGCUCUCCGAUAUAGUAAAUUAUUCUAUUCUGUUCCUCCACUAAUCCACUCUCCAAGGUUUUAAUCUUUCAGGUUUUAGCUGCUCAUCGCUGGAUCCUUUCGUCGUCGUCCAUGUGGUUCCUGUCCUUCUGGACCCCUUGUUUUUCACACUGCUUGUUGGAUCUCCUCCGCCUGUAAUCCUCCACCUUCAGCACCACCAGUCAGGUGGAGGAAGAUAAGAGAACCCAGUUGACAAAAAAAAGUAAGAAAACUUAUUUUCAUUUUAAAUAUGGAUGAAAUUGAGCUCAAAUUUCAAAAUUGUUCUUCCUUCUGUCCACCUAUAUUCUAUUUGUUAACCCUGUUGUCUUUUCUCUGGAUUUCAUUUCUACAUCAACUCAUGUCACAUGACAUGAGUUGACCAACAAUUAAAGCAGAAGACCAGCGCCGCCUGUAAUCCUCCACCUUCAACACCACCAGUCAGGUGGAGGAAGAUAAGAGAACCCAGUUGACAUAAAAAAGUAAGAACAUUUCUAUCUACGCAACAUAACUAAUCAUUUCAAAUAUAGCUGCAGAGAGCUGAGCUGAAAGUUAGAAGCUGUCUGCUGUUCAUGCAUAUUUUCCUCCUUAACUUUAUCUUCUCUCUUUAUUUCAUUUCUCUGUGAACUCAUGUGAUGACUGGAGUUGACCAACAAUUAAAGCAGAAGACCUGCUCCACCUGCUGUUCUACUGGUUGGAAGAGAUUGUGGGAAAGCAUCACUGGACCAAUCAGGCGAGAGAAGACAGAGAGGACUGAGGACUAAAACGAAAAUACUCUGCCUGCCAAAAAGGCAGACGAUCCAGUGGCCCCAGGUUUACACACCAUCUGCUGGUUUGAGGCAGACCGACCGCUGGGGAGAUGGACCUCACCUGACACCAUUACUCUGGAUGUAACAGGUAGCUCGACUCUCCUGUCCAUUAAAACAUCAGUGACUCGAGAAGUGGACAGCGAGGUUUCUGGUGCCUGGGUGGAGACGAGAUUCUGAUUAUUCAAGAGCCAAAACAAAACGUCAGAAUAAAUAGUUAGAAGGCAGAUUUGUUUCUAUUUGUUGUUGUUUUCAUCAUUAAUGCUCCACAACACAAAAUUCAUCAGUGCUGUAACUCUUGAGUUGAAUAAAAUGUUCUUCUUUCAAUCUGUUAUUUCUGGAGUCUUUUUAUUUGAACCAUAAUCAUUUUUGGAAACGUUAUAUAUUAAAGGAACGCCCACAUUUUUAAUAGAACUUCAUAACUGCUCAAAGCACAAACUGGAGAACAGGUUUAAAAUAAAUGUUUUUUUAGUGUUAAUUCAUUUGUAGUUACAUAAAUACAAAAUUCACAUCUUAAAAACAAACACAAGCCAGUCACACUGAAGAAGUUUUCUGAUGUUGACCUUCGACCCUUAGCUUCAACUGAUUCACUGAAGGGUUGGGUAGAAAUGUUACCCAGAGAACGCUCUUUUUCCUCAUGGACUCAUGACCAAUGAAACAAACUGGAAGAACUGGAAGCUGAACCAGUUGGUGGAUCAAGUCGGUCAACUCCAAGUAGCCAACACCGAUCGCCUUUGAAGCUU